AUUGAACGCUGGCGGCAUGCCUUACACAUGCAAGUCGAACGCGAAAGCGGGGCAACCCGCAAGUAGAGUGGCGAACGGGUGAGUAAUACAUCGGAACGUGUCCAGUAGCGGGGGAUAACCUCUCGAAAGAGAGGCUAAUACCGCAUACGACCUACGGGUGAAAGAGGGGGAUCGCAAGACCUCUCACUAUUGGAGCGGCCGAUGUCGGAUUAGCUAGUUGGCGGGGUAAAAGCCCACCAAGGCUACGAUCCGUAGCUGGUCUGAGAGGACGACCAGCCACACUGGAACUGAGACACGGUCCAGACUCCUACGGGAGGCAGCAGUGGGGAAUUUUGGACAAUGGGCGAAAGCCUGAUCCAGCCAUGCCGCGUGAGUGAAGAAGGCC
rnacentral:rRNA from 1 species